GACGAACGCUGGCGGCGCGCCUAACACAUGCAAGUCGAACGGAGCUGAGAGAAGCUUGCUUUUCUUAGCUUAGUGGCGAACGGGUGAGUAACGCGUGAGUAACCUGCCCUGGAGUGGGGGACAACAGUUGGAAACGACUGCUAAUACCGCAUAAGCCCACGAUCCGGCAUCGGAUUGAGGGAAAAGGAUUUAUUCGCUUCAGGAUGGACUCGCGCCCAAUUAGCUAGUUGGUGAGGUAACGGCCCACCAAGGCGACGAUUGGUAGCCGGACUGAGAGGUUGAACGGCCACAUUGGGACUGAGACACGGCCCAGACUCCUACGGGAGGCAGCAGUGGGGGAUAUUGCACAAUGGGGGAAACCCUGAUGCAGCGACGCCGCGUGGAGGAAGAAGGUUUUCGGAUUGUAAACUCCUGUCGUUAGGGACGAUAAUGACGGUACCUAACAAGAAAGCACCGGCUAACUACGUG
rnacentral:rRNA from 1 species